CACAUAGGCAUGCAUAUUCUUGUCUCUUCGGCUAAAUCUCAAUCCCACAACUUUUCUUCAUACUUAAAUUCUUUUUUUAUUAUUAUUAUAAUAUAAUUUUAAAAGCUCGAGCUCGAUGCUUGACUCCUUAUCAAAUAAAUAUAUGGAUCGACAGGAUACGCGACAUGAGGACGUGGCAGGAACGAAAAUUCGCUUAAAAAUAUAUAGAAUUCUUGGACAUCCUACGGGCAGGAUCGAAAAUCCGCUCAGAAAUAAAUUUGCACGCAUCCUUUUUAGUUACUGAAUGAUUGUUUUACAUCAAUUAAAUGCAUAUUUGAUCGUAGAAAAUCAAAACCAAGUUGGCGCGAGUCCAGUAUUUCGCGCGGGCUGGAGGUAAAAGUUUUGGCGACUAAAUUUUGGUUCCUAAAGGUUCAUCUGUAGCGACUAAACCAAUUUAGUCGCGAAAAGUAUGAAUGCAGGAAAACCAAAUAAAAAAAAACCUAAUUUCCUAUUCUUCUCCUUUUCACCCGCACGUCGCCUUCACCUUGCCUUCACCCGCACGUCGGCUUCACCUGCACGUCGGCAUCGCCCGUUCGCCGGUUCGCCCGUUCGGUCAUCCCUUCGGCGUCGGCGUCCCAAGAUGCACAAAGUAGGUAAAAAAUUUGUGAAGCCUGGGUGCUUGUCCCAGAAGCUGACGGGAUACGAAAGGCAAAGGCAAAAAAGGAUUGAAAUGAACUCAAUGAGAUUAGAGGCUCUUGGCAUACCGGGUAUGUCCAAGGCAUUGUUUGGUUCAAAUCAGAAUGGUAAUGAAGGACCGAACAAGAUUAGCAAUGGCGAUGAUGAUGAUGAGUAUCUGCCAUCUGAUAAUGAAGAACUGAAUUCUUCUGGAGAUGCUGAACUUGUGCCCGUGAUGGCUGCCCAACCUACUCUGCUCCCCACCUUUUCUACCCAGCAAACCCACGAGCUUUCAAGUCCACCUAUUAUUGCCAACAGCGUGGGUUUGUCUUAUGGCCUAAAGUAUUUAACUAUUUUAGCAUGUUCAUCAUCAAAGCGCGUGCGGGGUAAGACAGUUGGGAAAGGAAUUGAUAAGCUCAUUGCCCAGAAUGGCGGAGAAAAGCUUUCUGUUCCAGUACUUGAUGAGUGGAAUGCUUUAUGUGGUAUUAAUGCCCCAAAGGUAACCAGUCUGUUGGGGGUGUAUAUUAGGAGAAUGUGUCCAAUUAAGGGCAUACCGACGUGGCGGCAUGUAGACGAGGCUACUCAAUCUGCUAUCAUACAAUCUGUCCUUGACAAGUUCAAAAUCUCGGAUGAUUAUCAUGGCAAUCUAGUAGCUCAGCAAGCUGUCCACAGAAAAUGCUACAAUAUUCACAGAAAUUGGAGGCACAAUAUGAAAUUGCAUUACAAGCAUGUUAAGAACGUCUUACAUGUGGAUCCUUAUAGUCAUCCAUAUGAACAUGUGACUCAAGAGGAUUGGCGCCACUUAAUUGACGAUGUGUGGAAAAGCAAAGAACACAAGGUGAGAUCAAAAGCUGGUAAAAAGAAUAGGAAAAAGCUUGAGUACAAUCAUUGUUCAGGAUCUCGGUCAUUUGUUGCAACAAUGACUAUACAGCCGGAGUUUAAUGGUUCUGAAAACCUUGAAUUUCUAGAAUUCUAUAAGAAAACUCAUACCAAGAAGAACAAAGAGUGGAUUGAUCCUAUUUGCGCCGUGAAACAUUCAAAGAUGUUGAGCUUGCGAGAAGAAUCUUUCCAAUCCGGUGUGCAAUUAACAUCAGAGGAGAUGUCUAGGCAGGCACUUGGAAAAAGGAAGAGAUACAUUCUUGGAUUUGGGGAUGGGCCGAAGCCCUCUUCAUCUUCUUCCACACCUAGUCGUGUGUCACAAGACCAUGUUGGGGAGUUAUAGAAACUUAAAGCUGAGAUGGAGGAGAUGAAGAUGGAGCGUGAGAUGGAGCGUGAGGAGCUGCGGAGGCAAUUGGAACAGGAGAGGAGAGAGCGUGAGGAGGAAAAGAAAGAGCGAGAGGAAGAACAGAAGCAAAUUGCACAUCUUACAAGUUUGGUGACAGAGUUCUUAAAGAAAAAGACUCAAACGCAUAAGUCGUCUAUCCAUCAUGAUGGGGCCAUGUAUUCAACUGGUGGCACAAAUACUCGUUGAUACAUGGUGGAGUUAUGAGCAUGUGAAUCUAGUUUUUGGUACAUGGAUAGCUUUUGUUCAGAUGAUCAUUGUGGAGUUGUCUACAAGCAGAAAUCAGUUUUUUGUUUAUUCAUAUUUUUAUCUACAUGAUGGUUGUUUGGAUGAAUUGCAAGAUCAGAUAUUUUGGGAUUUUUAAUUUACAUUUUGAUGUGUUUGGUGAUGAUUAUCACCUUAACAUAUGGUAUGGAUGAAACAUUUUGAUGAAUGGUUAAUAGGUUUGCUUGACUUUAGACUUAUAGAUGAUGAUAUUUAUAAUGAAUGAUUAUGGAUUCUCCAACA